rnacentral:rRNA from 1 species
UACGAAGGAUGCGAGCGUUAUCCGGAUUUAUUGGGUUUAAAGGGUGCGUAGGCGGUCUUAUAAGUCAGUGGUGAAAUCCUAUCGCUUAACGAUAGACGUGCCAUUGAUACUGUAGGACUUGAGUACAGAUGCCGUUGGCGGAAUGUGUCAUGUAGCGGUGAAAUGCAUAGAUAUGACACAGAACACCGAUUGCGAAGGCAGCUGACGAAACUGUAACUGACGCUGAUGCACGAAAGCGUGGGGAGCGAACAGG